rnacentral:rRNA from 1 species
UACGUAGGGUGCGAGCGUUAAUCGGAAUUACUGGGCGUAAAGCGUGCGCAGGCGGCGCGUUAAGACAGGUGUGAAAGCCCCGAGCUUAACUUGGGAAUUGCGCUUGUGACUGGCGGGCUGGAGUGUGGCAGAGGGGGGUAGAAUUCCACGUGUAGCAGUGAAAUGCGUAGAGAUGUGGAGGAACACCGAUGGCGAAGGCAGCCCCCUGGGUCAAGACUGACGCUCAUGCACGAAAGCGUGGGGAGCAAACAGG